UACAGAGGGUGCGAGCGUUAAUCGGAAUUACUGGGCGUAAAGCGUGCGUAGACGGUUAUCUAAGUCGGAUGUGAAAGCCCCGGGCUCAACCUGGGAAUUGCAUUCGAGACUGAAUAGCUAGGGUGCGGUAGAGGGAAGCGGAAUUUCCGGUGUAGCGGUGAAAUGCGUAGAUAUCAGGAGGAACACCAGUGGCGAAGGCGGCUUUCUGGGCCUUACCUGACGCUGAGACGCGAAAGCGUGGGGAGCGAACCGG
rnacentral:rRNA from 1 species